GACGAACGCUGGCGGCGUGCUUAACACAUGCAAGUCGAACGGAAAGGCCCUGCUUUUGUGGGGUGCUCGAGUGGCGAACGGGUGAGUAACACGUGAGUAACCUGACCUUGACUUUGGGAUAACUUCAGGAAACUGGGGCUAAUACCGGAUAGGAGCUCCUGCUGCAUGGUGGGGGUUGGAAAGUUUCGGCGGUUGGGGAUGGACUCGCGGCUUAUCAGCUUAUUGGUGGGGUAGUGGCUUACCAAGGCUUUGACGGGUAGCCGGCCUGAGAGGGUGACCGGCCACAUUGGGACUGAGAUACGGCCCAGACUCCUACGGGAGGCAGCAGUGGGGAAUAUUGCACAAUGGGCGGAAGCCUGAUGCAGCAACGCCGCGUGCGGGAUGACGGCCUUCGGGUUGUAAACCGCUUUCGCCUGUGACGAAGCGUGAGUGACGGUAAUGGGUAAAGAAGCACCGGCUAACUACGUG
rnacentral:rRNA from 1 species